AAGUUUAUAAAAUUACUGCUCUUAAAAUUUACUUUUUAAUUAUUUUUUUCUUACCGAGUGAGAUUCAAUAAGAAUAAAAUGGAAUAUGUUAGUAAAUAAUUGGCAAAUAAAAAAGGAUCCACAUUCUUCUUUGGGAAAAAGGAAAUAGUAAAUAAUUGGCAAAUAAAAAAGGAUCCACAUUCUUCUUUGGGAAAAAGGAAAUAGCCAUCCAUUUGGACGACACCAAACAUAACACAUUCCUCGCUAAUCGACAGGUUGACAUGUAUUCUAAAUGCAGCUCUCUAGAAUAUGCGCAACAGGCUUUUAAUGAAGUUUCGAACAAGAAUUGUCAAUCAUGGAAUACGAUAUUAUCCGCUUAUUAUCAAAGGGGCCUUUUUGGAGAAGCCUUCAAGGUGUUUGAUGAAAUGCCUGAACCAAAUGUUGUGAGUUCUAACUCGAUUGUAUCGAGUUUGACUCGUUGUGGGCUUCCAGGAAAAGCGAUGGGUUUUUUCAAAAGAACGGGAUGAGUUCUUGAUUGAUGAGUUUACGGUUGUUGGUGUGGUGAAUGCUUGCGCGUGUUUGGGGGUGUUGAGGUUGGUGUGAGGUUUAAUCUUGUUGUUUGUACGCGCUAAUUGAUGCUUAUGGGAAAUGUGGGAAACCCGAGUACUCAUAUCCAGUUUUGUGUCUAAUGCAUGAGACGGAUGUAUUUUCCUGGACUUCGAUGUUGGUUGCUUAUAUACGUGCAUCUAGAUUGGCGGAAGCGUGCUCGCUUUUUGAUAGCAUGCCGGUCAGAAAUGUUGUGGCUUGGACUGCUUUGAUCACAGGAUUUGCGCAGAAUGGAGAAGGAGAGAAGGCUUUGUGCGUCUUUAAGGAAAUGCUGGAAGAAGGUAUUGUACCAAAUGCAUCCACUUACGUUAGUGUUCUAGGUGCUUGUGCAGACAUACCACUUAUAGAAAAGGGGAAGCAGCUUCACGGACACAUUUUUGGAUAUACACAUUUAAUUGAUUUGCAUAAUGUCUUUGUAGUUAAUGUUUUAAUUGACAUGUAUUGUAAAUGUGGAGACAUGAUAUCUGCUAUGACAUUGUUUGAGAGGUUAGAUGGGAAGGAUCGAGUUACUUGGAACUUGAUAAUACUUGGGUUUGCUUAAAAUGGGCACGAAGAGAUGACAUUAUGCAUGUUUUACGAAAGGAUUGAAGCCGGUACAAAACCAAAUCAUGUAACUUUUCUUGGGGUUUUAUCUGCUUGUAGCCACUGUAGUUUAUUAUCUGAAGGAUUCCACUAUCUUCAUUUAAUGAGGAGGGAAUACAGUAUAGUUCCCCAAUUAGAUCACUAUGGGAUUUUAAUUGAUUUACUUGGAAGGAAGAAUGUGCUUCGAGAAGCUGCAGAAUUAAUCAAGGGAGCUCCUUGGGGGAACAAAAAAUAUUGGAAUGUGGGGUGCACUUUUGGGUGCUUGCAGGGUACAGGGGAACUUGGAACUUGCUAAAAGAGCAGCAGAAGCUCUAUUUGAGCUGGAACCUGAUAAUGCUGCCAGGUAUAUUAUGUUGUCCAACAUCUAUACAGCAGCAGGAAGGUGGAAUGAUGCCCGCAGACUGCGAAGGUACAUGGAUAACAGAGGAUUGAUGAAAGAAACAGCUUAUAGUUGGAUGGAAAUAAAAAAUAUCAGACAUAAGUUUGUCACUAAAGAUAAGUCUCACAGUCGGUCAGAAGAAAUGAAAGAGUUGCUACUUAAACUCAGAUCCAAUGAAGAAUGCUGGAUACGUACUUCAUAUUGAAAGCUAAUGAAUGAAUGUAGGUCCGCUCCUGGGUGAUCUUUCUGUGCCUUUAUUUAAUGCUUUUCAAUUUGGCGAGGAAAAUAUGUUUGUUCUUUCACAUGGACCUGUUAGCUAUCACAACCAUUCAUUUUCUUAUGUACCACUGGAUUUUGUUUAUUUAAAGAUCCCGUUUCCAGCAUCCAAAUGUUUCUCAAGGGCAAAAUGGUUACUAUAUCUGCAUAGUUUCAGUGAAGCGCAAACCCAGUCGGCUCAAAGUUCCCCACAGCAGUAUUAAGACGCUGGGAUAAGCUAACGGACAAAUAAAAAAUCAAGCGCAAGAAUAUUCAGAAGAUAUGGUGUGGCACAAGACAGCUCUGAGGUUCAGAGACACGAGUCCCAGACCAGCAGUAGCAGUCGCUCUCACAAUACAGAGUUGUAGUGAGUCCUCUUCGUUCGAGGAUGAUAUUAUUUGACUUAUUCAUUAUUUCUCAGUUUAGUUUUACGGAGUUAGUUGGAGACAUGUUCCUUCAACUCCUUAUUCAGACAGUUAGAGGCUUUCAGAUUUGCAUGUUCAGACUUCAGAUUAUUUCAGUAUGUUUUGGUAUUGUGAUACCACCUUUUCAGAUGUUAAAAAUUUUCAGAUGAGAACCUUAUGACCUUA